CUGAGCUGUCUGUAUUGUUCCUAACCACAUUCACAACCACAUCCAGGAGAGACAGCAGCAAUGACUUGACAUCUCACCUGGGAACUGCAAUGCACAGCCACAUUCCCUGGAGAAGUGAGGACCUCAAGCAUGAGAUCCAAUGAUGGUCUCUGGGUGGCAGGCAGAAAUCUCACACAAUGCUGAAAUCCAGUGGCACUGUGCCUUUGCUCUGGUAACCACCAGUCCCUAAAUACAACUGUCAGAGAAGACACAGGAUUCAUCUCAUUUACAGUAUCUGAUAUACAAACUGAGGUCACUCCAAGCCUUCCUCAUAGAGACUGCACCUUUUAGGGUGGGCUUCAUCUCUGACUAAAACCCUAUCUCCUCUGUAACGACCAUGAAAGAACGACUGCCUUAGAUAAACACGUCUACAUUUCAUAGCUUUAUUCCAACCCAUGAAACCAGGUCUGCUGCUCCAGAUCCUGGGAAGUCAGUGGAGGCUUCUGCAGCAAAGGUGAGCUAUGAGAAAGGGACAGUAACUCUUCUGCUUGUCUACAACAUCCCAUGGAAGGAUCCCGUUUGCCAGCAGCCCUAUCUGAUGAUUUUUCAUCUCUGCUUACAUAUCCCUCACAGUGUCAGAAAGAUGAACUGGAACAGCUGUACUGACGGGUGAUUUUGUUACAGAGAAUUCAGAGGCAAAGGGGAAUGGGGCAGGAGAGAAGAUUAAUUGCUACAUGUGCUAUCCUUUUUUUUUCAAUCUUAUGAAACUGGCAGGAGGAGAGCAGUUUUUACAGAUAUGAGGUGAAAUUAAUGAAUGCUGUCUUACAAAACAGCAGAACCAUCAACUGAGACACAGUUACACUACAUGAGGUGCUGCUGCAGGAGGGAAAAAUUAGUUGUUCUCACCACUUUCCUCCUUCCUUCCGAAGAAAUUGCUGCUUGCUUUGUCCCACCACAAGCACAGGGAAAUAUUUGGCCUAAACAAGGGCACAGGGUGGCUGUUCUGUUUCAGGAGAAGGAGAUUCACUAAAAAUUAAUUGAGUAGCUCUAAUCUUAUAUUUGAGCUUGCACUAUCUAAAGUGUUGAUAGGUCCCGCCUGGAUCUAAGUAGCCAAUUAUCACACCACAGUGACUUUUCCACCUGCUUCUGUAACCCACAGAAAAGCCCUGUAAGUAAAGCUCCUUGCAAAAGGGCCCCUAUGCUCCAAUCCAAGAAAGUCCAUAGAGUGCUUUUCACAUAAUUUCACUGAAUUUCAUCAAUUCAGUCAUGCCCCUUGAUAGAAGGUGAACUAGACAGAAAGAAAAAAAUUCCUUCAUUACACAGAUUUCCUAAAAGCUGAGACAAUAGAAAUGAAGAGGAAAGGAAUUCUCUUGCACUUGUCACUCCAAGCGGUUUUUGAUGCAAAAAAAAAUAGAUGACCCAGCAGACAUUGCCUAUACAUGUGACAGAGACAAGAAUAUGUAAAAGUAUCACAGGAAAAGGCAUGAAAAGCCAAUAUAUUUUCAAAGGCAUAUGAAGCUGCACAUCUGGAGUAAAGUUUUAACCCAUCAAAGAUCUAUGAAUAGAUCUGAAGGAAUAGACUGAAGGAAGCCCAGUUUUGAAGAUAAAAUUGUUUCUGUUUCUCAGAAACUGCUUCCUACACCUCAUAACUAUCAAUUGUUUAGGAGGUGGAAUGAGUUUUGCCUGGUUGGGAAGCAUCCAUCUGAUGCCAACCAGCCAGCAGGAUGAGCUAAUUGGCCAAAUAGGAGGCCAAACAAAAUAGGGAAUCUUGGGCUUGACCUCUUUCUUUUAUCCACUUUUUCAUUAAACUGGUAGGAACUCACUACCCUUAAGACUUCUAUUAUUCUGUUUAAUUUGGAUGAAAUCUACCAAUGAGAGAAAUUUCUUGAAGUGGGUGGAUUAUUGUGGGAACCACAUUAGCUGGCAUAGAUAAAAUCUUGGACCUGGUUCCUAACAUGGAGAGAAUAAACCUGAGGCCUUGGGAGGCAGGGUGCUGGGGGAUGCUAAUGGAGUAAUUCCAUAAUAGGUCAUGUCCCUGGUCCAUGUUUACAAUUGGACCUUUGCCCUCAGAUAUCCCUUUACAUUGUGAGGUUACCCAUGUCCCCAGGUCUUUGGAUGCAGCCCCUCAGACCAUGUGGUCUCUGUGAACAUUAAAAUCUGUCUUUGGGCACUCCAUCGUACCCACCCUGAUUUAUUCCGCUACGUUCAACCCGGCUGAACCGGGAAAGAGGUCCCACAACCCUACCACAACAUGUGCUGCCCAAACAGGGACAUUCUCAUAUUGAGAAGAACUCUAGGAGACUUGGUUUUGGCAAACCAAUAGUAUUCUGCUCUGGAAUAAACCCUCAGGCUUGACCAGCCUCGAUGGAAUCGAGCAGCCAUCGGAGCACGACCAGCCUUCUCAGAGGACCCCUGCAAGGAACGCAGGUGAGCAGAGGAAGGGGACACUUUCCCAUCGCACCUACCCCAACCAGGAGGGCACAUCCCCCCCGAGCCCAGUUUAGCAGGAUGGGACUAAGGCUGUGCAAUUUAGAACGGGAAGUAUAUGGACGAUUUAGAGAACUUUUACCAAACCAUGGGAAGGAGGUUGGAAAACGUAAGCCCAAAACCCUGCUAAAAUUGGGUCUUGCGAAACUUCCCGGCUGCCGCUGGGCCGCACCGACCACGCCGGUGCUGCCGGCUCCCCACCACAGCCCCGGCCGGCUCCGCUCCGCAUGGUGCUGCGGGAGACCUCUCAGACUGUGGCAUCUUUCCUGCAGGCUUUUGGGACGCACUGGGAAACAGGCUGUGUGACUUAACAACGAGGAGGAACCUCCAAGCCCCUCGCUUGUUGCCUGUCUUCCGUGCGAUUCUCGAAACCUUUGAAGCCAAGGAGAUAAAGCGGUGAAAUUCCAACUCCACCUCCCAAGCCCGCUCUGCUUCUUACCCCUCCAACCCUGGGAACGGGACACGAGAUCGGAGCUCGUUAAAAACGCAGGAGCCCAUGCAAAUCCCAACUCCUGCCAUUCUGUGCUCCCCUCCUUCUAAACCCCUCAGACUGCCCUGGAGUGGAACACGGGGCCGAAAGGGCCAUUAGCUCGGAGGAAACACCGGUUCGCCCUGUUACCCCGCUACUUCGUAUUCCCUUCUGCCUUCUACACCGAAAGCUCAAGAUGGCUCUGGCCACGCUAUCUGGGACUCUCGGCUCCCGUCCCCCUUCUCUCCCCCAGCACCCCUGAUAACCUACUGCCCUCCAAUUCACUUGAAACAAAGCCGGCUAACGACGCUGCUGAUCCUGCUCUGCAGGGCACCCCAAUUACAAUAUCUCAGAUUUCCUCAGCCAGCCGCACCUCAGGCUCCCCUCUUCCCUCCCCGAGUUCUGUCCCCGCUCUUCUCCCGCCGGCCCUGCUUGUCCCCCUCAGAGGAGGCUGCGCAGGGCCCGCUCCGCUCCCGGCCGCCCCUUCAGCCCCGAGCUGCGCCCGCCUGGAGGGAGCGGAUCAACGCCCACCCCCAUCCCAGCAGCCCCGCUCUCCAACAUGGCCCCGGCCAGGCCCGCGCCCGCACGGCCGAUGCCGGGGUCGGAUACCGAACGCUGUCACUACGCAUCCAGAAACAAGGGCACUGUUUCUAAACACCAAGAAGCUCAACGGAGAAACCCUGUGAAGAACCUGCUGAAAAGACACCUUGAAGCUUGUGGAUAUUGUUACCUCCUAUCUGUUGCUGAUUAAUACCACCAGUUUCUUAGUUCUCUAAGUAUUAUUAAUUUUUAAGUCCUAUCCACUGGUUAUUCCACCAGACAUGACUCCUGAAGGAUCCCUGCUUGCUGUACCCAUCCCAAUCCAGUGAUUCCCUGUUACGGUUACCAUCUGGGACAUUUCUUAUUUGCAGGGACAGAGCAUGGCCUGGCAUACCAUCACCCAUUCAAGGGUGGCCCAUGUAGCUUGGGGAGACUUACUGUGCUAGCAUCUGGGAUUGCCAUAAUUCAUGACAAAAAAAAUUAGGCAUAAGAGAUUUGUCCAUCAAUUCAAAUCUGAUUGCAAAGAUGAGUUUAACUUUUGGAGCAAAGGACAGAGAAUAGGAGCCUCAAUAUUGGCGCCUAGGGUUGCUGCAGAAAAAUCUUUAAAAAUGUUGGGCAAUCUAGGGUGUUGGCUGAGUAGGCAAACCAAUGCUGUGUCCUGGGAACUGACUGAGCUAUUGACAAAUGUUGAUAGCAUCAAGCAUGCCACCCUGCAAAAAGGAGCUGCAACAGACGUCCUGCUAUUAGCCCAAGGACAUGGUUGCAAGGAUUUCAGAGGCAUAUGCUGCAUAAAUCUUUCAGAUCAAAGUGAGUCCAUACACAAAAGUAUCCAAAUUCUCAGGGAAGGAGUCAAGAAAUUGCAAAUAGAUGACAGUGAGUGGUUCAAUGGACUACUGAGAAAAAUGGAACUUAUCCAGUUGGACUUUAUCUUUAGUCAAGACAGGUUUACUGAUUUUUGUAGUUGUUAUGUUUAUGUUGCUACCUUGUUUUUUAAGUUGUCUGUUAAUGGUUUUUCAGAAAUCUUUACUGAAGGUCUUUCAAUUCAAAGACUGAGGCAGGUGUGGGAACCAAAUUAGCUGGCAUAGACAAAAUCUUGGACCUGGUUCCUAACAGAGAGAAAAUAAACCUGAGGCCUUGGGAGGCAGGGUGCUGGGGGAUGCUAAUGGAGUCAUUCCAUAAUAGGUCAUAUCCCUGGUCCAUGUUUGCAAUUGGACCUUUGCCCUCAGAUACCCCUUUACAUUGUGAGGUUACCCACACCACCGGGUCCUUUGGAUGCAGCCCCUCAGACCAUGUCGUCUCUGUGAACAUUAAAAUCUAUCUUUGGGCA